CCCAGCCACUCAGUGCAAUAUAUCUGCCCUUUGCCUCUUUGUGCCAUCUCUCUGCCCUGUGCCAUCUCUCUGCGACCAGUAUCACUGUGCCAUCUCUCUGCCACCAGCCUCUCUGUGCCAUGUCUCUGCAUUUAGCCUCUUUGUGCCAUUUAUCUGCCUCCAGUGAGGGCGACAGAGUAUGUGUGGGAGGGUGACAGUUUGUGGGAG